rnacentral:lncRNA from 1 species
GCCUUAUGAGAGGCCAUCAUUUGCCCAGAUAUUGGUGUCCUUAAACAGAAUGUUAGAGGAGCGAAAGACCUACGUGAAUACCACGCUUUAUGAGAAGUUUACUUAUGCAGGAAUUGACUGUUCUGCUGAAGAAGCGGCCUAGGACAGAACAUCUGUAUACCCUCUGUUUCCCUUUCACUGGCAUGGGAGACCCUUGACACCUGCUGAGAAAACAUGCCUCUGCCAAAGGAUGUGAUAUAUAAGUGUACAUAUGUGCUGUACACCUGGGACCUUCACCACUGUAGAUCCCAUGCAUGGAUCUAUGUAGUAUGCUCUGACUCUAAUAGGACUGUAUAUACUGUUUUAAGAAUGGGCUGAAAUCAGAAUGCCUGUUUGUGGUUUCAUAUGCAAUAAUAUAUUUUUUUAAAAAUGUGGACUUCAUAGGAAGGCGUGAGUACAAUUAGUAUAAUGCAUAACUCAUUGUUGUCCUAGAUAUUUUGAUAUUUACCUUUAUGUUGAAUGCUAUUAAAUGUUUUCCUGUGUCAAAGUAAAAUAUUGUUAAUAAACCUAACAAUGACCCUGAUAGUACAGGUUAAGUGAGAGAACUAUAUGAAUUCUAACAAGUCAUAGGUUAAUAUUUAAGACACUGAAAAAUCUAAGUGAUAUAAAUCAGAUUCUUCUCUCUCAAUUUUAUCCCUCACCUGUAGCAGCCAGUCCCGUUUCAUUUAGUCAUGUGACCACUCUGUCUUGUGUUUCCACAGCCUGCAAGUCAGUCCAGGAUGCUAACAUCUAAAAAUAGACUUAAAUCUCAUUGCUUACAAGCCUAAGAAUCUUUAGAGAAGUAUACAUAAGUUUAGGAUAAAAUAAUGGGAUUUUCUUUUCUUUUCUCUGGUAAUAUUGACUUGUAUAUUUUAAGAAAUAACAGAAAGCCUGGGUGACAUUUGGGAGACAUGUGACAUUUAUAUAUUGAAUUAAUAUCCCUACAUGUAUUGCACAUUGUAAAAAGUUUUAGUUUUGAUGAGUUGUGAGUUUACCUUGUAUACUGUAGGCACACUUUGCACUGAUAUAUCAUGAGUGAAUAAAUGUCUUGCCUACUC